rnacentral:lncRNA from 1 species
CACCCUACUCUAAUAAGGCUUUAAUAUCUAGAGCUCAUAGGUGGGAGAUAAAGUAUACAUACUUACAAGACAUUUAUUGCAUAGUCAAACCAUGGAUCCAAAGUAACAAGUCAAUAAGCCAAAUCAAGAUGUGCAUGUGUGGCGAAUGAAUGGUGUAUGGUGAUGAUGGCGAUAACAAUGGUGAAAACAAUGGUGGUGGAAGUCUAAUUCUACUUUGCUCUUUGAGGGGAUACAUACCUUCCUUGCUUUUUGAAACUUUAUGAGGAGAAUGAGAUGCUCUAUAUUUUUCUUUUCUCUGAGGUGGGUAUCUUGCACCCCUAAUUCUACUGUCGGACACUUGUUCAUUUUUACCUCUCGUCUCACUUUUUCUUUUCUUUCGAGGUUCCGAGCACUUGCUCCUUUUUAUUUCCUCAUAUCUCUUUCUUUUUUUAGAGCAUUCAUCUCUUGAGAUAAUAUAGCAAGUGGUAGUAACAAGAUAACUUGAGCAUUUAUUUCACAAGGGGAAAACAGAAAUAUUUUUGGUUACUCUCUCCCGGAUUAGGAGUAGAAUAUUUUUGGGUGAUUCUGGAGAUGGAAUGGGUGG